CCCCCACCUCGCUGCCCCGUCCCGACCCCGGGUGCGAGGUGGGCGGCUGCUGCUGGGGGGAUUUUUACAAUUCCACUCAGCGCUUACCUCAGCUCAUGGAUUUUCCAGAGGAAGUCAGUAUUUAAACAAAAUGUGAGAAGAGCAUGCUGUGAAUGUCUUGUUGCUGGACCUAGUGUGAUGAAUAAUUAUGGAGCAGCUGAGCAGUGCUAGCCAGAGGCUCAAAGAAUCUGAGGAGCAAGCAAAAAGAACUCCCCAGGCUGGCUUCAGUGAAAUGGAGGAGCUGAUAGACAAUAACAGGUCAAGCUGCUAAGAUGAUGUUGGAGACCCUGUGUGUGGCAGCUGUUGAGCUGAGAAGAAAGAAGCUCACUCUUUGCAAAGGAAAGCUGCCCUGGUGGGCCGCAGUGGUAAGCCACUGCCUGCUGCGCUCUGCCGGUGCUGUCACUCUCUGGGGGCAAAGCAAGCAUCCUUUUCCUAUAAUGCUCUUUGGACUUUUUCGAAAUGGGGUAAACAUUACUUACUCCUUGCAAAGCCACUCCUUUGAUUUGCUCUUCUGUUAUUAAUUACGUGUGCUUCCUUUUGUCACACCACUUUUUUUUUCUUUGCUGCUGAAGAUGGGGCUGUAGAGAAAUCUGUUACCUCCAUUUCAAUGGUAGAUGGGUUAUCUGUCUACAAGAGAGUACAGAAUUGCUUUUAUCAAACAUAUUUCUUUUGCCAUUGUUUCUUGAUGACAGAUACUACUCUUAAUGUACACAGUGACAACACUUUGAGAUGGGAGAUCUGUGUUGCCAUCAAUUUUUGUUACGGUGAUAAAUCACGGCAUAUCUCACUUUCUGAAUGACAUGCUUCUGGAUUUAGGUCUGCUUUUUUUUUCUUUGUCACAGGUUUUUCUUUUUCAAUGCCAGCAACAGCCUUGCCAAAGCUCAUCUGUUCCUUUAGCAUUCACUCCAGCACGCUGAUUAAUUCUAUCACACGUCUCCCCAUACACAGCAUAAUCAAACAGGUUGAUAGAAAAUCAGGAAGGAUAUGAUAUUUACAAAAUUUCCUAAUGCAUCAUGCUUAUCUUCGACUUCUGCUAGUUGUGGCACCUUGUUUCCUCUGGGUUGGAGGGAUGUCAGCAGAGUCUGCCAGGAAAAAAGGUUUCUCCCUGUUUGUGGCCCUCAAGUGCGAUGGUGUCACCCUGCCACACAUGGGGAAGUUUGCUUACGAGAGCUUUGCAUGGAGGGUGCCUGCAGUUUUCUUCUGUGCUUCAAGGGUGGCUUCAGUAAAAGUGGGGGAUCGCUCACCCACAAAUCUUAAAAUAGUAAAGAAUGCAGGUCAGGUGCCUCAUUUCUUUGGCUAUGUAGAUAGCGCUCUUAAUAGCAUGAGUCAAAAAUGUAUCAGUAGGAAUACGAGCAGCAAUUUCAAGUGGGUUUAAACCUGUUCUGAGCUCCCUAAACAAAAGCAUCUGGGGGGAAGUGGCUGAGCAAAAAUAUUAACUAAUCCUCCUCUUAAGAGGUGGCAAAAUUAAGCAGAGGCAGUCCACAGCCCAGAUAAGGCUCCUGCCUCACUUGUCUUUCCCUGGUGAGGAUGGAGAACUGCUGCCCACAUUGCUUCUUCCUGCCUCCCCACUGUGUUUAUAUGGUAAUCUGUAUGGUUUAUGUGGUACUGACUCAGUGAGAAAGAAGGUACUGGGUGUCAGGGUGAGCUUCAGCUAAGCUGCAAGGGCACGGGGGAGUGGGGUGGCAGGACUGAAAAGGGAAGGGGCCAUGUACCGAAAAUAAAUGGGAAAAAUCCAAAUCAUCUCACUCUGAGACCCAAGGCAAUGCCACGCUGCGAGCCCAGUGAGUGCUGCAUUCAUUAGCAGGUCCCGUCAGGAAGGGGGGGGAUUACUGGGUUUGUAGAAAUCCCAUUUGAGAGUUUGCGGUUAAAAUAUAAAUGCAAAAUUUAUUAAAAACAUGGUGGGGCUUCCUGAGAAAGAAGAUAAUGUUAAGACCUCAUUUUCCUAUCUGUUGCUGCUAGUUACAGUGAUAGUAUUAAAACUGAAUUCUAUAGGUAUUAAAUCUAUUUUCUUCUGUGUGUGUGUGCGUCUUGUUUUAUUCAGUUUUGGCCAUAAAAGCCAUGGCAAUGUUCUGCUACAAAAUUCAUGCUGGCUGUGGUGCUGGUGUGCUGCCUUGUAUGUGAACUUUAAAUCCGGAAAUCCUAGGGACUACACCACUCUUCUCAGAAUUGUUUUUGAAUUCACCGCAGCAGUUCCACAAUUACUUGGCUCGUGUCUUUUGAAUUCACGUCUUAUGAAUGCAUCCCGAAACACAUCUUUAGCAAAUGCCCGCUUCAGCCUUAGCCUGCAGCUCAAGUCCGUGACUGUUUUUCCCUUCCUGGUAGCCUCGGGGACUGCCAGCCACCCUCCUGGGGACUGCCAGCUGCUCUGCCAGGAAGGCAGUGAUGCUGUGCACCUCCUGCAGCCUCUGCGCAGCAGUAAAUGUCUGCUUUUCCACAGAUACUUGAUGAUGAUGCAAAGACACUUAAAGAUAUUUGCUAAACGCUUAUGAAUCUAUUUGUGAUUAGCGAAUAAUUAAAUAAAUCACAGCAAUCAUAAAGACACAUGGCUAGUUAGUUAGAUUUGCAUAUAUAGCACUUUUCAAACAGAGCAGAAGAGCUCAAUUCAUCUAAUAGAAGUCUAAAUUCACUGUAUCUUAAUUUGAUUUACCUUUGACAUAACAUUUAAAUAGUAGCAACAUCUAUAAUCUUGUGCUCCUCAAUAAGGCUUCAUUAGAAACUCACUGCCAGAUCUAAUCCACAGUUAGCAUACAAAGUCUUAUCUCUAGGUUCCUGCUUCAAUGCCUUUGAGAACAUGCUUAAUUUAAUCUGAACAAAGACACUGCCAUCAUAAGCCUCAAGUCUGAUUUUCCAAUCUAGAAUAUCUUUGUUAUUAAAUUUGGUUCAAGGCAUGGUGCAUACAAUGGAUACAGCAAAUUAUUUUAAAGCACUCUUCAAGGAAAAUUCUACUGCUUGUAAGACAUCUUUUAUAUCUGUGGGACGUAAGAAAUGUCACUUUUUUUUAGUGUCAUACAAAAAUGCAGUAUUAGUCUUCACAACCUAACUACCACUUA